rnacentral:rRNA from 1 species
AUUGAACGCUGGCGGCAGGCUUAACACAUGCAAGUCGAGCGGAGCGAGGGUGCUUGCACCUUAGCUUAGCGGCGGACGGGUGAGUAAUGCUUAGGAAUCUGCCUAUUAGUGGGGGACAACAUUCCGAAAGGAAUGCUAAUACCGCAUACGCCCUACGGGGGUAAGCAGGGGAUCUUCGGACCUUGCGCCAAUAGAUGAGCCUAAGUCGGAUUAGCUAGUUGGUGGGGUAAAGGCCUACCAAGGCGACGAUCUGUAGCGGGUCUGAGAGGAUGAUCCGACACACUGGGACUGAGACACGGCCCAGACUCCUACGGGAGGCAGCAGUGGGGAAUAUUGGAGAAUGGGCGGAAGCCUGAUCCAGCCAUGCCGCGUGUGUGAAGAAGGCCUUUUGGUUGUAAAGCACUUUAAGCGAGGAGGAGGCUACUUAGAUUAAUACUCUGGGAUAGUGGACGUUACUCGCAGAAUAAGCACCGGCUAACUCUGUGCCAGCCGCCGCGGUAA